GAUGAAGAACGCAGCGAAAUGCGAUAACUAAUGUGAAUUGCAGAAUUCAGUGAAUCAUCGAGUCUUUGAACGCACAUUGCGCCCCCUGGUAUUCCGGGGGGCAUGCCUGUCCGAGCGUCAUUGCUGCCCUCAAGCACGGCUUGUGUGUUGGGCCUCCGUCCUCCUCCCGGGGGACGGGCCCGAAAGGCAGCGGCGGCACCGCGUCCGGUCCUCGAGCGUAUGGGGCUUCGUCACCCGCUCUUGUAGGCCCGGCCGGCGCUUGCCGACACAUCAAUCUUUUUUCCAGGUUGACCUCGGAUCAGGUAGGGAUACCCGCUGAACUUAAGCAUAUCAAUAAGCGGAGGA
rnacentral:misc_RNA from 1 species